rnacentral:rRNA from 1 species
UACGGGGGGAGCAAGCGUUGUUCGGAUUUACUGGGCGUAAAGGGCGCGUAGGCGGCGCGACAAGUCACUUGUGAAAUCUCUGGGCUCAACCCAGAACGGUCAAGUGAUACUGUCGUGCUAGAGUGCGGAAGGGGCAACUGGAAUUCUUGGUGUAGCGGUGAAAUGCGUAGAUAUCAAGAGGAACACCUGCGGCGAAGGCGGGUUGCUGGGCCGACACUGACGCUGAGACGCGAAAGCGUGGGGAGCGAACAGG